GACGAACGCUGGCGGCGUGCUUAACACAUGCAAGUCGAACGGAAAGGCCCUGCUUUUGUGGGGUGCUCGAGUGGCGAACGGGUGAGUAACACGUGAGUAACCUGCCCUUGACUUUGGGAUAACUUCAGGAAACUGGGGCUAAUACCGGAUAGGAGCUCCUGCUGCAUGGUGGGGGUUGGAAAGUUUCGGCGGUUGGGGAUGGACUCGCGGCGUAUCAGCUUGUUGGUGGGGUAGUGGCUUACCAAGGCUUUGACGGGUAGCCGGCCUGAGAGGGUGACCGGCCACAUUGGGACUGCGAUACGGACCAGACUCCUACGGGAGGCAGCAGUGGGGAAUAUUGCACAAUGGGCGGAAGCCUGAUGCAGCACCGCCGCGUGUGGGAUGACGGCCUUCGGGUUGUAAACCGCUUUCGCCUGUGACGAAGCGUGAGUGACGGUAAUGGGUAAAGAAGCACCGGCUAACUACGUG
rnacentral:rRNA from 1 species